rnacentral:lncRNA from 1 species
GCCUUUUGAAAAUAAAUUUCACAACCAAUACAAUUGAACUAACAAAUAACUAGUAUAUUUUUGGGCAAAAAAAAAAAAAGACAUUAAAUGCUGUAUCAUUGGCAAGACUGUUCGUUACAAAUGAUCAAGAUUAUUUAAUGCAUUCAUUUGAAAUCAUCUGUGAAAGGUGAUGGACAUAAGUAGUGCUUAAUAAAGAACAAAGAAAAAUUAGACUAAAACAAGAAUGUGUCCAAAGUACAUGGAUGCCCCACUCGCACUAUCCUUUUCCAUGUUCCAUGGACCGUGACAUUGGGUAAUAAUCUAAUUUGGUAUUAAAAUUAGAAAGAUUAUACUAUGGG